AUUGAACGCUGGCGGCAGGCCUAACACAUGCAAGUCGAGCGGAUGACGGGAGCUUGCUCCUUGAUUCAGCGGCGGACGGGUGAGUAAUGCCUAGGAAUCUGCCUGGUAGUGGGGGACAACGUUUCGAAAGGAACGCUAAUACCGCAUACGUCCUACGGGAGAAAGCAGGGGACCUUCGGGCCUUGCGCUAUCAGAUGAGCCUAGGUCGGAUUAGCUAGGAGGUGAGGUAAUGGCUCACCUAGGCGACGAUCCGUAACUGGUCUGAGAGGAUGAUCAGACACACUGGAACUGAGACACGGUCCAGACUCCUACGGGAGGCAGCAGUGGGGAAUAUUGGACAAUGGGCGAAAGCCUGAUCCAGCCAUGCCGCGUGCGUGAAGAAGGUCUUCGGAUUGUAAAGCACUUUAAGUUGGGAGGAAGGGCAGUAAGCUAAUACCUUGCUGUUUUGACGUUACCGACAGAAUAAGCACCGGCUAACUCUGUGCCAGCCGCCGCCGUAACAC
rnacentral:rRNA from 1 species